GGUGAGGGAAGGCAAGAAGUAGAUAGAAGAUUUGCAGCAGAUCGAUCUGGACAGCACAGACAUGUCAUUUGUCUUCCUGGAGCUCCUUGGAAAAGGGUCAAGGCACCUUCAAGGGCACUGCUGCUUACAAAGAAGAAGGCAGUUGGUGCUUAUUCUAUGAAACAAGGAAUUUGAAAACUACUCGAAUCUACAUACUCUUAACCUCAUUCAGAGAAGUAGCACACAGAGGCACCGAAAACGUAUCAGAUAUCUCAAGAAGGUGGAUCUAAACGAUGGAAGUUUACCCUCACUCAGAAAGCUGAGGGACUGUAUGGGAAGAAGCUGCCUUCCAUACUUUUCCAAAUGUGCAUGAUGUCUUUAAGAAGAGAAAACAAACACAAUUCACUCAUAAAAGCCUGGUCUUCCUACAGCUUCAUAAUAGUUCAAUCUGCAUGGUGCCUAAAAUGCAGUACAGCUAUUCAGGUCAUCUAUUAUCCAUGGAAGAGCUAAAAAUUUGCUAGCUUCCAUGUUGGACUGCAAAAUUUUCUACAGAGUCUUCCACACUUACAUACUUAUAUGUAUCCCAAAAUGAACUCUUAAAGUUUUAAUUGAGAAAGAAGUGUCUAAAAUCAUCUCCAGAGAGCCCAUUCUCGCAUCUAGUAUCCAUGAACAGCAUUGAGUUUAGCUCAAAAUCCAUUUAGUGCUUCCAUUUGGCACUAGCAGUCAUGUUCUGCCCAUGGAGAGAACUCUUCCAGUAGACUGCUCUCACCAGCAGCCUGGAUAAUAGCUUCGGAUGAGGCCCAUAUCUGCCCUCCCGGUAACUCUCAGUAGCUCACUCACGAGAUAGGAAUAAUAUUUACAUUUUGCAUUAUGGAGUUGACUAAACUGCACGCAUACAACCAGCAUCAGAGUUUCAAUCCCAAAGACUUCUCAUUUCAAAAAAGUAUUUUUAGCAUUGGAAGACAGGGAGUUUGAGUCUGUUUUGGGAGUUUCAUUAUCCUAUUUACUCUUAAAAAUGUCUUGGUGGCCAGAGAUACUUCUGGCAAAGCCAAACCUGCUCACACUUCAGGUGAUUUCAACAGCAUUUUCCACUGAAGACCUCCAUGCAGAACUCCAUGUCAGUAUAUGGGAGUCCUGAGUCAGCUGGCAGCCCUAAGCAAUCAGGACAAAGCAGCCAGUGCCUCAUACAGGUGCACUGAAUCCCUUUUUACAAGGUCUUACAAUUUUUAACUGGCUGUGAAAGAAAUCAUACAGUACUUUCCUGGCACAGCAGCACAUCAGUUCCAGAUAUGGAAAUAACUUCGAUGCAAAGUGGUGAUGAAUGGCGUUCUCUGCUUGUUUCUUAAG
rnacentral:lncRNA from 1 species